UCAGACGAUGCGUCAUGCAUAUCAAUAAGCGGAGGAAAAGAAACUAACAAGGAUUCCCCUAGUAACGGCGAGUGAAGCGGGAAGAGCUCAAAUUUGAAAUCUUAAAGGGUUUCCCUUUACGAAUUGUAGUUUAAAGAAGUGUUUUCUGUUGAGGUUUUGGUAAAAGUUCUUUGGAAUAGGACAUCAUAGAGGGUGAGAAUCCCGUAUUUGACCUUUACUUUCAACUUUGUGAUACACUUUCAAAGAGUCGGAUUGUUUGGGAAUGCAGUCCAAAAUGGGUGGUAAAUUUCAUCUAAAGCUAAAUAUUGGCGAGAGACCGAUAGCGAACAAGUACCGUGAGGGAAAGAUGAAAAGAACUUUGAAAAGAGAGUUAAACAGUACGUGAAAUUGUCAAAAGGGAAGCGUUUGACACCAGUGUUGUUUUUCUGAAAAUCAAUUAAAGAACUGUUUAUGCUAAGCUGUUUAGACUUUAUCAGCUAUCUGUUUAGUUUUGAGCUUUUCUUUAAUGCACUUUUCAGUUAACAAGUCAACAUCAAUUUCUUUUGCUGUAAAAAAGCUUGAGGAAGGUGGCUUGAGAUUCGUCUUAAGUGUUUAUAGCCUCUUGCCUAUGCAGUCGGAGAGAUUGAGGUCCGCAGCGUAGAUCCUUCGGGGCUAAAUGCAUUUGUGCUAAGUUAUAGCAUUUUAUAGACAACUUGUUGACUAUGAUUUGUCUUGUAGCUUACUCGCUUAUGUUAUUUUACCUACGCUUAGGAUGUUGACACACGCGCGUGCUCG
rnacentral:rRNA from 1 species